AACGUAGGAGGCGAGCGUUAUCCGGAUUCACUGGGCGUAAAGCGCGUGCAGGCGGUUCGACAAGUUGGGCGUGAAAGCUCCCGGCUCAACUGGGAGAGGACGUCCAAUACUGUCGGGCUAGAGGAAGGGAGAGGGAGGUGGAAUUCCCGGUGUAGCGGUGAAAUGCGUAGAGAUCGGGAGGAACACCAGUGGCGAAGGCGGCCUCCUGGCCCUUUCCUGACGCUCAGACGCGAAAGAUAGGGGAGCAAACCGG
rnacentral:rRNA from 1 species